rnacentral:rRNA from 1 species
GACGAACGCUGGCGGCGUGCUUAACACAUGCAAGUCGAACGGAAAGGCCCUGCUUUUGUGGGGUGCUCGAGUGGCGAACGGGUGAGUAACACGUGUGUAACCUGCCCUUGACUUUGGGAUAACUUCUGGAAACUGGGGCUAAUACCGGAUAGGAUCUCCUGCUGCAUGGUGGUGUUUGGUAAGUUUCGGCGGUUGGGGAUGGACUCGCGGCUUAUCAGCUUGUUGGUGGGGUAGUGGCUUACCAAGGCUUUGACGGGUAGCCGGCCUGAGAGGGUGACCGGCCACAUUGGGACUGAGAUAGGGCCCAGACUCCAACGGGAGGCAGCAGUGGGGAAUAUUGCACAAUGGGCGGAAGCCUGAUGCAGCAACGCCGCGUGCGGGAUGACGGCCUUCGGGUUGUAAACCGCUUUCGCCUGUGACGAAGCGUGAGUGACGGUAAUGGGUAAAGAAGCACCGGCUAACUACGUG